CAAUUACCACUUAGCCAGGGGUUGAUGCUGUUUCCUGCCGCCGGCUCGAGGGUCUGUGGAUACUCAGCCUAGGCCAUGCUCUUCGCUUUCUGAGUCCCCGUUCGCGAUGCUUACCACGACUGCGUUUUCCUCCGUCUUCGCCUUCCGUUUAGCCACCGUAAGAGCAUCCGAAUCCAGGUCAACUUAUUCUUUUCCUCUCAAGCUCAGAGCAUCUCUCCAUGACUACCCGCUCGCAAGCAAAAUUGUGGUUAAAAAUUUAUCAUAUUCCUCUGGUGAGACUAUUCUUGAGAAGGAAUUUUCCAACUUUGGCGAGAUAGCUGAUGUUAAAGUUGUUAAAGAUACCACAAAAAGAUCUAAGGGAUAUGCUUUUAUUCAGUACACCUCUCAAGAUGAUGCAAUGCUUGCAAUAGAAAACAUGGAUCAAAAGGUAUUAGAUGGGCGGAAGAUUUAUGUUGAAAUAGCAAAACCUGGGAAGGAUGCUUUUCAUGGCCACCCAAAGACCUCAGGCCCCCCAAAGGAGUGGCAGAAACCAGAUCAAGAGGAAGUGGUGGAUUGCUGGUACUGAUCAAAAUUAUAAAUGAUGGAAUGGAACAGUUUCCCAAUCAUAUAUUGCCAUGUGGAUUUUUUUUACGAGUCCUCGUUCAUUCCAAUAACUCUAAAGGUGUGUUUGGAUUUAUGGAGAUUUUGAUUUGAAUCAAAUCCCUUAUUUGGAUACGUUAAAAAUUAUGGAGUUGGAUUUAAUUCAAAUCCAAAUCCAUUUCUUAUUAUAUUUCUUAUAUAAAGCUCAAUCUACUUGUGAAAAUGCAACCUGGUUCUUGUGUGAAUGAGGUAGAUAGAAACACAGGCUUCUCGCUAGACAACUAGUUCACACAAUGGCUUACUCUAGUUCUUGCGAGAAUUGGAUAAUAGAGGUAAUGACCUCUCUAGUUGCUUGUUCUUGCAUGGGUAGGAUUCAAUUCUUGCGAGAAUUGUUGGACAAAUUUUGGAACACAAGACUUAGGAUUUUUCAUGAAGUGUUCAAGGGUUUUUAUAAGCUCUCUAAUGUAAACUUGAGAAUUUCAAAAGGAUAAACUACUUCUCGUGUGAAACAAUUAGUUCUUGUGAGAACUUGAUUGGGUAGAACUCAAGUUGUUAUUGGAACUCUUAUUCUCAUGAGCAAUACUCCUACUUCUUGCGAGAAUUAGAAGUCUAUAUUCAAGGUUACCAUUGUCACUCCACUUCUCGCGUGAUGUAGUUGGGCACAACCAAGCAUCAUUUUGGAGCUCAAUUCUUGCAUGAAUCAAAUUGAUUCACCCAUGAAUGAGCAAAUAGAAUAGGAUGCCAUUUUAGAAGUCUAGUUCUUGCCAUAACACCAUCUAGUUCUUGCGAGAAUGGGUUCAACGGGUACAAAGGUAUUGUAAGGCAUUUCAACUAAAUCACAUGUCACUAGCUAUUUCUCGCAACAAUAGACAUGAAACACCAUGAAAUGCUUUCUCUCUUUCUUUCUUUUUUAUAUUUUUUUAGUACAAAUAAAAAUAAAGGAGAUAUUCAGAAUUGUACUAACUAUAGAGGGAUUAAGCUCAUGAGCCACACAAUGAAAUUGUGGGAGAAAGUAAUUGAGCACAGGUUGAGAUUGGAGACAAGUAUUUCUGAGAAUCAGUUUGGUUUUAUGCCAGGUAGAUCAACUACAGAGGUGAUUUAUCUACUAAGGAGAUUAAUGGAAAAGUAUCGUUGUAAAGAUAAAGAUCUACACAUGGUUUUUAUUGAUUUGAAAAAAGCUUAUGACCGUAUACCAAGAGAAGUGCUUUGGAAAGCGUUAGAAAAAAGGGAGUACGGAUUGCUUAUAUUAAAGCCAUACGAGAUAUGUAUGAGGGGGUAAAAACUAGUAUAAGAAUGCCUAGUGGUCAAACAAAGGAUUUUCCUAUAAAGAUUGGAUUACAUCAGGGAUCAUCUCUGAGUCCUUAUUUGUUCAACUUGAUCUUAAAUGUUUUGACGGAACAUAUUCAAGGGGAAAUUUCAAAAUGUAUGCUCUUCGCGGAUGAUAUAGUUCUUAUAGCAGAGACAAGAGGAGAGGUUAAUUGUAAACUUGAGUUAUGGAGGAGGACAUUGGAGUGGAAAGGUUUUCGUCUGAGUAAAAAUAAGACGAAAUAUUUAUAUUGUAAAUUUGGUAAAGGACUAUUUGACAAUAAUUUGGAAGUGAAAUUGGGAGAUCAAAUUAUACCUCAAGUGGAAAAGUUUAGAUAUUUGGGAGCCAUUAUUCAAAAUGAUGGCAAAAUCAGUGGAGAUAUUUCACAUAGAAUUCAAGCUGGGUGGUUUAAUUGGAGAAAAGUUAAAGGAGUUAUUUGCGAUCGUAAGGUGCUUAAUAAACUUAAAGGAAAGUUUUAUCGCACUGCUAUCAGACCGGCAAUGUUAUAUAGUAGUGAAUGCUUGGUUUUAACGGGACAGCAAGAGCAUAAAGUUGGAGUAGCAGAGAUGAGAAUGUUACAAUGGAUGUGCGGACAUACACGUAAAGAUAAAAUUCGAAAUGAGCACAUACGCGAAAAAGUGAGGGUGACACCUAUUAAGGAAAAAAUGGUAGAAAAUCAGCUGAGAUGAUUUGGGCAUGUACAAAGAAGACCAAGGGAGGCACCAGUGAGAAGAGUGGAACAUAUAACUUUGAGUCCGAUUAAGAGAGGUAGAGGAAGGCCUAAGAGAACACUUUUGGAAGUUAUUGAACGCGAUCUUUUAAUUAAUAAUAUUUCUAAAAGCUUGAUAAAUGAUAUAGCACAAUGGCGUCUUGCAAUCCAUGUAGCCGACCCCACCUAAUGGGAUAAAGGUUUGUUGUUGUUGUUGUUGUUGUUGUUGUAGUACAAAUAAAAUCUAUUAAUACUCAAACAAAGAAAUACAAGAAACAAACAAAUACAAGAAACAAACGAACAGAAAUCCUUCAUCAUUUUCCACCUUACAUAGUAAUAAAAGGUGGUGAGUAUUGAUCAAAGAUUGCAAGAUCAUUGGAAAUACUAUGACCUCUCUUAGAAAGAAGAUCAAUAAUACUAUUUGAAUCUCUAUUAAUUAGGUUUACAUAAACUAGCCAGCCUUUAUGUAACAAAUCAAAAGUGGAUUUGGUGACACCUUUGAAUAGAUGGUGGUGGGAAAAUUAUCACAAAAUAAGAUUAACUGCCUGUGUAGUUACAAUAAGCUUUGAUCUUUCAAAAUCCUCUCUCCCCCAACAUAUCUUAAGACUCUUCAUAAGACCAUACAAUUUUGCAAUGGUUGGUGGGCAAGAAGGUAAAAACUAUUGCAGAAACCAAACAUAGGUCUAAUUUGUUCCCUUCACAAUCCCACCACAAGCACUAAGACUAUCCCCGGCAACAUCUUGAGCUCAACAAGCAAAUCAUCUCAUCUCUCUUCUAUUGUUAACCUGAGCCAUACAAUGCGCAUCCACCAUUGCUUUUUGCAAAACUCUCUUAGCAUCAAUACACACAUCAGCCUCUUCAGCAUUGAAGACUCCGCCCCCCUCAAAUUCCAAAUUUCCCAACAAGUAUAUGAAAAGAGUAUGAAAUGCUUUCUAAAAUAUUUUCUAAGUUAAGAUCUUGAUGUUUGAGGCUAUGACUUGUCUUUAAUUGUAUUCUACUUUCUAUAUGCAAAUACAAGCUCUCAAAAAUGAUUUUUAGCAAUUGAACUAAGAGAAAGCAUAAAUAAUAAACUUAUUAACAUUAGGUAUUCUCAUGCUCUCUUAAUCCUUUGCUCUCUUGAUGGUUUUGCCAUUCUCUUGAUUUUAUAAUCCACACAAGCAACAAAACUUUCUCGUUUUGUAAUCAUCAGAACGAAGUAUAUCAUGAAACACAAGCAAGAGUAGGUAAAUAUCUUGUGAUGGAAAAUUAUGGUGUAGAGGUGGGUGAAUCGUUAGAUUCUGAUAGUUGUCCCCUUUUUCUAUUAGUUUCUAUCAAUAUUGUUGCGUGGAAUUGUAGAGGCACAUCCUCAAAAAUUUUAGUAGAAGCAUAAAAGACUUAUUGAGAGGGAGGAAUGUGAGUUUCUUGAUUCUUGUUGAAACCUGCGUUUGUGGUAGUCAAGCAAAUUGAAUUUGUGAUAAGUUAGGCUUUAGUUACUAGAUUCGGGUUGAGUCCACUACUUUUCUGAGGGGUAUCUGGAUUCUUUGGAAUGAUGAGGGCUAUUUUAUCAUAUAUGUGGCAUCGACUACCCAUUAUAUUCACGUACAGGUUAAAGAAAUUUGUUCUAAUAAGAUUGUCUGGGUUACAAGAAUUUAUGUUAAACCAAAUCCUCAUGCUAGACAAAUUCUUUGGGAAGAUUUAAUCAAUCUUAGCAAAGGUAUGAUUGGAGCCUUGUUAGCUAUUAGUGACUUUAAUGCUUAUCUCUCAAUAAGAGAUAAAUGUGGAGGUGUUGAGCCAAAUGUCUCAUACAUACUUCAAUUUAAUAACUGUGUUUAGAGAUCUUGUUUGCAAGUUGUGGAUUGUGUUGGGGAAUGAUAUACAUGGGAAAGGAAUCUACCUAAGGAGAGAAUUGACUAGGCCCUUAUGAAUAACUUUUAGGCAAACCCUUUUCUUAGAACUUUGGUUCACCAUCUACCUAGGUUUGCUUUGAUCAUAGAACAAUCCUUGUGAGUACAGAUUGGCUAGAACCAUAGAGGAGGGGCACUCUAACUUUUUGAUGCGAAGUUGCAUGGAUCUUAGAAGAGGGUUUUGAUGAAGUGGUUAGAAACAUGUGAUCGUUUGGGGAUUGGAAUGGGAAGAUUGUCUGUCACAGAUUGGAAUCAACAUAAGGUGGGAAAGUUAAUAGUUAAGAAAAAUGGUUUAUUGAAAAAAAUCCAAGGAGUGGAUAGGGUUGGCGUCAGGAUAAUCCUUUAUUGGCUUAAUUGGAAAAGAACUUGUGGAAGGAGUAUAAUAAGGUCCUUACCUAAGAGGAGCUCAUUUGGUACCAAAAAUCGAGAUAUAGCUGGCUCAUAUUGGGGGGAUAAAAAUAGUAAAGUUUUUCAUGCAUCCACUAUUGCUAGAAGACAAAAAAGGAUUGAAGGGUUGAGAAAUGAAAAUGAUGGGUGGAUAUUCGACCAAGAGGAGCUUGAGAAAAUGGUAGCCAAUUACUAUAGAACUUUCUUUACAUGUCAUACAGAGUUGAGUAAUUUGUUGAAUACUAGACACCAAUUACCCUAACUUAACAUAUUAGAAUUGGAAGAACUUCAUCAUGAGGUGAGCAAUGAGGAAAUUAAGGAGGUUACUUUUGAUCUGGGAUCUUUCAAAGCUCCUAGACAAGAUGAGAUACAUGCUUUCUUUUAUUAGGAUUAUUGGCACAUCAUUGGUAGGGAUUUUAUUCCUUAAUUAAGAAGCUCUUGGCCACCUUUUGUUUGUAGAUGAAAUUAAUGGUACUCAUCUUAUGCUAAUUCUUAAAGUUGAUGUUUUGGAGACCAUAAAGGACUUUAGGCCUAUUUCACCCUAUAAUGAAAGUUAUAAGAUUUUGUCUAAAGUCUUGAGUUGGAGACUAAGGAACAUUAUGGGUAAGCUAGUAGGUAUGUGCCAAUGCAACUUUAUUGCUGGUAGACAAAGUAGUGACAACAUUAUCAUUGCUCAAGAAGUCAUACAUUCUAUGAAGUUGACAAAAAAAAAAAGGAAUGAUGGCGAUUAAAGUUGACCUUAAAAAAGCGUAUGAGUACUUAGAAUGGGAUUUUAUCAAUGAUACCUUGCAAUGAAUUGGUUUAUCUGAGUCUCUUUGCAAAAUUAUUAUGGCCUAUGUUAAAAGCUUAUCAAUGCAAGUGCUUUGGAAUGGAAGCCUAGCAAAGGUGCUCAAACCUUUAAGGGGAGUGAGACAAAGAGAUCCUAUUUCCCCAUAUAUCUUUACUCUAUGCAUGGAAAGAUUGAAUCUUGUCAUUAAUGAUGCAGUGGAUGAAACAGAUUGGAAACUUGUCCAACUUGUUACUAGGGGUCCAAGGAUCUCCCACCUAUUUUUGCUGAUGACUUGGUGUUGUUUGGUGAAGCUUCAUCUGUGCAAGUUGAUACUAUACUUCCAUGCCUUUAAUCUUUUCUAUGAAGCCUCUAGAGAAAAAAUAAACAAAACUAAAACAAAGGUUUGCUUCUCAAAAUCUAUUCUCUUUUCAAGAGCUUAUAAGCUUAGUUGCAAAUUGGGUGUUGGCUUGACAAGUGAUCCUGGUAAAUUCUUGGGAAUACCCCUCAUCUAUAAAAAGGCAUCUUAUGUUUUAAUCAUCCCAAUCCUCAAAAAAACUCAAAGGAGGUUGUCUAGUGGGAAGGGUAGAUUCUUGAAUAUAGCUGUUAGAAUAACUUUGAUUGGAGCAAUCCUUUCUAGCCUCCCAUCCUAUCACAUGCAAACAAUGACCCUCCUAAAAUGCCUUUUCAAGAGAUAGAAAGUAGUCGAAACUCCUUUGGGGAGAAGAUGAGGUUACUAGGAAAAUUCAUCUGAUUGCGUUGGAUGAGAUUACUCGAGAAAAAAAGGAGGGUGGGUUGGGGAUCAAGGCCUUUCGAAGACAAAAUAAAGCUUUUUUUGAUGAAACUUUGCUGGAAUUUAAUGUGCAAUGAAAAGCAUUAUGGGUUAAAGUUUUAAGAAGAAAGUACAAAUGCGGUAAGGAAAGUAUGUCUUAUGUUAUGAAGAAACAAAACUCAUCUUUCACAUGGAGGGGUAUCUAUGAAGUUUGGGAAAAGUUCAAAGAAGAGUGGGAAAGAAAAUUCGGAAUGGUAAGUCUACUAAUUUCUAGUUUCAAAAUUGGUCAUUGCUAAAUGUCCUUUUAAUUGAAUUAGUUGCUAGUCCGGAGUAAUAUAUAGAUAAAAAUGAGAAAGUCUCGGAUUAUGUGAAUCAGUGGGGGUAGUGGAAUGUUGAACAACUAAGCUCUUGGUUCUCGUUGAACACAGUUUUGUAUCUAACCCAUGCCCCCCGCCUAGUGAGGAGAGAGAAGAGGACAAAUACUAUUGGAAACCAUCAACAGAUGGUAAUUUUAUUGUUAAAUAAGCCUACUCUUUUUUAUCUGCGAGUACAAAUGGGAGAGCUAAUAGUAUUUGGAAGAUGUCGUGGAGGAGGCCUAUCUUGGAAAAGAUAAAAUCCUUCAUGUGGCUCUUUGCACAUGGAAGGACUCACAUAUGAGUUGUGGAUGAAAAGAGUGUUGAACUCUAGUUUUGAUGAUUAUAAAAUGGAGAAGUAUUUAUUUUGCAGAUGAUUUUGCAUUUGAAGACUAAAGAAAAUUUGGAGUGUAAGCUUAAAUCUCUAAUUUUCAUCUUAAUCUAUAUCCCUUGUCAUUUUAUGUCUCGAGAUAAGUAUUCAAUUUAUCUCAAAUAUCCUUGAACAAGAUCAGUUUGUGGCUAAUGUGUAUUAAAAUUUCUUCAUACUAAGUUUUUUUUGUUCAUAUCGGUAUGAACUACUUCACACUGGUAUCAAGGAUCUCAUACUCCCUCUUUGUUGGCCAUACUGCUAUGAAACUGUCUUUUGUUCUUUUAAGUUUCUUCAUAUCAAUAUCAUCAUCACUGUUUGUUACUCCCAUUUAAAUUUUUUGUACUAAUAUGAACUACUUCAUAGCUAUAUCAAAUGUCUUCAUACCUAUGUGAACUUAUUCAUACUUGUAUGAAUUACUUUCCCUCAACGUGCUUUAUGAUUUUCACUUGGGUGUAUGUUCAUUCCUGCUCGUAUGAGAUUUAAUCUUUCCUUUGUUUCAUGUUUAUUCUCAUACCGGUAUCAAGCUCUUUAUUGUGAUAUGAAGUUGAAGUUUUUUGCUCUAUUUUUCGCAUACCAAAACAGAGUAUCUUUUGUUCAAUUUUAUCUCAUUCAAUCCUUAAUCCUUUUUGUUCCUUUCAGUUGUGUUCAUUAUUCUACCUGCCUUUAAUUCUUUUAGACACAAUCAAAGAUGGAGCCAAAUAGAAGAGAGACCAAUAUGAUGACAAAUAGUAGUGGUGGUGGUUCACUUACAGGACCAAUGAUGACCCCACUAGACCAAGUAAUUAUGAAGGUGAGGGCUCCAGUAGGAGCAAGGGAAAGAAAUGGGUGACUAAAGAGUGAAGAGCAUCAUUGUAUAGCUCUUCUCUUUCCUCUUUUUAGGUUUUGUAAUGAAUAUGUUAUGAUGUUAUUCCAACUCAGGAUCAUUACAUUGUUUCACUAUCACUUGUAUGAAACUCUAUGUGAUGUGUGCAUAUCCCGGCCUAAAAUUGUGAUGCUUGUGAUUAAGUGUAAAUGGCCAAGAUACUUAUACAAGUGAUUUAUUGCAUUAACUAUAUGUUGAAUGACCAAAUGAGAUUUAUGUUGAAUUUUA